GGCAGUACCUUUUAAAGGCAACGCGUCGGGGAACUGGCCUAAGUGUACUGAGGGAGAUGUGGGACGGUGAUAGAUGCUUUUGGGGAAUAAACCUACAGUGAAUUUGAGGCCGUACAGGUAUUAUGAUAAACUGGAGGGAUGAGUAAUGGUGAUGGGGAUAGAUGCUUUUGGGGAAUAAACCUACAGUGGAUCUGAGGCUGUGCAGGCAUGAUGAUAGAGACAGAGUACGCUGUGCCCUCCGGGCCCCCAGCUCACCACUAAGAAAAGGGGCUACCGCUCGAAUCCCAACUGACGGAAACCUCAGAUACAGCCCUGGCA